rnacentral:rRNA from 1 species
AUUGAACGCUAGCGGGAUGCUUUACACAUGCAAGUCGAACGAGUGGCAGACUGGUGAGUAAUAUAUCGUAACGUGCCCAAUAUCGCGGGAUACCUACUCGAAAGAGUGGCUACUACCGCAUACUAUUGGAGCGCCCGAUAUCGGAUUAGCAAGUUGGUGGGGUAAAGGUUCACAUAUGCAACGAGACGUAGCUGGUUUGAGAGGACGACCAGCCACACUGGGACUGAGACACGGCCCAGACUCCUACGGGAGGCAGAAGUGGGGAAUGUUGGACAAUGGGGGAAAGCCUUAUGCAGCCAUCCCGCGUGUAUGAGAAGGCUUUCGGGUUGUAAAGUACUUUUGGCAGAGAAGCGGUAUCUGCAGAAUAAGCACCGGCUAACUACGUGCCAGCAGCCGCGGUAAUAC